GCUGGGCGUGGUGGCUCAUGCCUGUAAUCCCAACACUUGGGGAGGCUGAGGUGAGAGGAUCACUUGAGCCCAGGAGUUUGAGACUAGCCUGGGCAACAUAGUGAGACCCCAUCUCUA
rfam:Gorilla gorilla gorilla genomic chromosome, chr18, whole genome shotgun sequence